rnacentral:rRNA from 1 species
CGAACGCUGGCGGCGUGCUUAACACAUGCAAGUCGAACGGUGAAGCGCCUUCCUUUUUGGUGGGUGUGGAUGAGUGGCGAACGGGUGAGUAACACGUGAGUAACCUGCCCCCUUCUUCUGGAUAACCGCAUGAAAGUGUGGCUAAUACGGGAUAUUCUGGGUCUGUCGCAUGAUGGGUCUGGGAAAGAUAUUGUUUCGGUGGGGGAUGGGCUCGCGGCCUAUCAGCUUGCUGGUGGGGUGAUGGCCUACCAAGGCGGUGACGGGUAGCCGGCCUGAGAGGGUGGACGGUCACACUGGGACUGAGACACGGCCCAGACUCCUACGGGAGGCAGCAGUGGGGAAUAUUGCACAAUGGGCGCAAGCCUGAUGCAGCGACGCCGCGUGAGGGAUGGAGGCCUUCGGGUUGUGAACCUCUUUCGCCAGUGAAGCAGGCCUGCCUCGUUUGUGGGUGGGUUGACGGUAGCUGGAUAAGAAGCGCCGGCUAACUACGUG